rnacentral:rRNA from 1 species
GUUUGAUCAUGGCUCAGAUUGAACGCUGGCGGCAGGCCUAACACAUGCAAGUCGAACGGUAACAGGAAGCAGCUUGCUGCUUCGCUGACGAGUGGCGGACGGGUGAGUAAUGUCUGGGAAGCUGCCUGAUGGAGGGGGAUAACUACUGGAAACGGUAGCUAAUACCGCAUAAUGUCGCAAGACCAAAGAGGGGGACCUUCGGGCCUCUUGCCAUCGGAUGUGCCCAGAUGGGAUUAGCUUGUUGGUGGGGUAACGGCUCACCAAGGCGACGAUCCCUAGCUGGUUUGAGAGGAUGACCAGCCACACUGGAACUGAGACACGGUCCAGACUCCUACGGGAGGCAGCAGUGGGGAAUAUUGCACAAUGGGCGCAAGCCUGAUGCAGCCAUGCCGCGUGUAUGAAGAAGGCCUUCGGGUUGUAAAGUACUUUCAGCGGGGAGGAAGGGAGUAAAGUUAAUACCUUUGCUCAUUGACGUUACCCGCAGAAGAAGCACCGGCUAACUCCGUGCCAGCAGCCGCGGUAAUACGGAGGGUGCAAGCGUUAAUCGGAAUUACUGGGCGUAAAGCGCACGCAGGCGGUUUGUUAAGUCAGAUGUGAAAUCCCCGGGCUCAACCUGGGAACUGCAUCUGAUACUGGCAAGCUUGAGUCUCGUAGAGGGGGGUAGAAUUCCAGGUGUAGCGGUGAAAUGCGUAGAGAUCUGGAGGAAUACCGGUGGCGAAGGCGGCCCCCUGGACGAAGAUUGACGCUCAGGUGCGAAAGCGUGGGGAGCAAACAGGAUUAGAUACCCUGGUAGUCCACGCCGUAAACGAUGUCGACUUGGAGGUUGUGCCCUUGAGGCGUGGCUUCCGGAGCUAACGCGUUAAGUCGACCGCCUGGGGAGUACGGCCGCAAGGUUAAAACUCAAAUGAAUUGACGGGGGCCCGCACAAGCGGUGGAGCAUGUGGUUUAAUUCGAUGCAACGCGAAGAACCUUACCUGGUCUUGACAUCCACGGAAGUUUUCAGAGAUGAGAAUGUGCCUUCGGGAACCGUGAGACAGGUGCUGCAUGGCUGUCGUCAGCUCGUGUUGUGAAAUGUUGGGUUAAGUCCCGCAACGAGCGCAACCCUUAUCCUUUGUUGCCAGCGGUCCGGCCGGGAACUCAAAGGAGACUGCCAGUGAUAAACUGGAGGAAGGUGGGGAUGACGUCAAGUCAUCAUGGCCCUUACGACCAGGGCUACACACGUGCUACAAUGGCGCAUACAAAGAGAAGCGACCUCGCGAGAGCAAGCGGACCUCAUAAAGUGCGUCGUAGUCCGGAUUGGAGUCUGCAACUCGACUCCAUGAAGUCGGAAUCGCUAGUAAUCGUGGAUCAGAAUGCCACGGUGAAUACGUUCCCGGGCCUUGUACACACCGCCCGUCACACCAUGGGAGUGGGUUGCAAAAGAAGUAGGUAGCUUAACCUUCGGGAGGGCGCUUACCACUUUGUGAUUCAUGACUGGGGUGAAGUCGUAACAAGGUAACCGUAGGGGAACCUGCGGUUG